GACGAACGCUGGCGGCGUGCUUAACACAUGCAAGUCGAACGGUGAAGCGCCUUCCUUUUUGGUUGGUGUGGAUGAGUGGCGAACGGGUGAGUAACACGUGAGUAACCUGCCCCCUUCUUCUGGAUAACCGCAUGAAAGUGUGGCUAAUACGGGAUAUUCUGGGUCUGUCGCAUGAUGGGUCUGGGAAAGAUAUUGUUUCGGUGGGGGAUGGGCUCGCGGCCUAUCAGCUUGUUGGUGGGGUGAUGGCCUACCAAGGCGGUGACGGGUAGCCGGCCUGAGAGGGUGGACGGUCACACUGGGACUGAGACACGGCCCAGACUCCUACGGGAGGCAGCAGUGGGGAAUAUUGCACAAUGGGCGCAAGCCUGAUGCAGCGACGCCGCGGGAGGGAUGGAGGCCUUCGGGUUGUGAACCUCUUUCGCCAGUGAAGCAGGCCUGCCUCGUUUGUGGGUGGGUUGACGGUAGCUGGAGAAGAAGCGCCGGCUAACUACGUG
rnacentral:rRNA from 1 species